rnacentral:misc_RNA from 1 species
UGCGUCCUAAGGCUCCGCCUUGUGUUGAGAUUUCCUGUCAAGGAACUUUCCAAGCAUCUGGGCGUCCUGUCGAGCCUGAAUCGCAACACACUGCGUGCAGGGAGCCCGGCAAGACGCCAAGCAAACCCGUCUA